rnacentral:rRNA from 1 species
AUUGAACGCUGGCGGCAGGCCUAAUACAUGCAAGUAGAGCGAGCCGCGCACGGGUGAGUAAUGUCUGGGAAACUGCCCGAUGGAGGGGGAUAACUACUGGAAACGGUAGCUAAUACCGCAUACCAUCAGAUGUGCCCAGAUGGGAUUGGCUAGUAGGUGGGGUAAUGGCUCACCUAGGCGACGACCCCUAGCCGGUCCGAGAGGAUGACCAGCCACACUGGAACGGGAACAGGGUCCAGACUCCUACGGGGGGCAGCAGUGGGGAAUUUUGCACAAUGGGCGCAAGCCUGAUAAAGACAUGCCGCGUGUGUGAGGAAGGCCUUCGGGUUGUAAAGCACUUUCAGCGAGGAGGCGUUACUCGCAGAAAAAGCACCGGCUAACUCCGUGCCAGCAGCCGCGGUAAUAC